AAGGAAUAUUGGGCAAUGGACGCAAGUCUGACCCAGCCAUGCCGCGUGCAGGAUGAAUGCCCUAUGGGUUGUAAACUGCUUUUAUACGGGAAAAAACCCUUCGACGUGUCGGAGGCUGAUGGUACCGUAAGAAUAAGGAUCGGCUAACUCCGUGCCAGCAGCCGCGGUAAUACGGAGGAUCCAAGCGUUAUCCGGAUUUAUUGGGUUUAAAGGGUGCGUAGGCGGAAUUGUAAGUCAGUGGUGAAAUCCUACAGCUUAACUGUAGAACGGCCAUUGAUACUGCAGAUCUUGAGUAUAUUUGAAGUGGGCGGAAUGUGUCAUGUAGCGGUGAAAUGCUUAGAUAUGACACAGAACACCGAUUGCGAAGGCAGCUCACUAAACUAUAACUGACGCUGAGGCACGAAAGCGUGGGGAGCAAAC
rnacentral:rRNA from 1 species